rnacentral:rRNA from 1 species
UACGUAGGGGGCAAGCGUUGUCCGGAUUUACUGGGCGUAAAGCGCGCGUAGGUGGGAGUGCAAGUCCGGUGUGAAAGCCCCCGGCUCAACCGGGGAAGGUCGCUGGAAACUGCGCUUCUUGAGGUGGACAGAGGGAAGUGGAAUUCCUGGUGUAGCGGUGAAAUGCGUAGAGAUCAGGAGGAACACCCAUGGCGAAGGCAGCUUCCUGGGUCCAGCCUGACGCUGAGGCGCGAAAGCGUGGGGAGCGAACGGG